AGCAGCCGCGGUAAUUCCAGCUCCAAUAGCGUAUAUUAAAGUUGUUGCAGUUAAAAGCUCGUAGUUGAACUUCAGGCCUGUCCAGACGGUCCGCCUUAAUUGGUGUGUACUGUCCUUGGGUGGGUCCUACCUUCUGGCGAAGCGGCAUGGCCUUAGUUGGUUGUGUUGGGGAACCAGG
rnacentral:misc_RNA from 1 species